rnacentral:sRNA from 1 species
CUUGGUCAUUUAGAGGAAGUAAAAGUCGUAACAAGGUUUCCGUAGGUGAACCUGCGGAAGGAUCAUUAUGAAUUAUAAAUAUUUGUGAAUUUACCACAGCAAACAAAAAUCAUACAAUCAAUAAUUAAAUAAUUAAAACUUUUAACAAUGGAUCUCUUGGUUCUCGUAUCGAUGAAGAACGCAGCGAAACGCGAUAUUUCUUGUGAAUUGCAGAAGUGAAUCAUCAGUUUUUGAACGCACAUUGCACUUUGGGGUAUCCCCCAAAGUAUACUUGUUUGAGCGUUGUUUCUCUCUUGGAAUUGCUUUGCUCUUCUAAAAUUUCGAAUCAAAUUCGUUUGAAAAACAACACUAUUCAACCUCAGAUCAAGUAGGAUUACCCGCUGAACUUAAGCAUAUCAAUAAGCGGAGGAAAAGAAACCAACAGGGAUUGCCUUAGUAACGGCGAGUGAAGCGGCAAAAGCUCAAAUUUGAAAUCGGCCACCAGGUCGAGUUGUAAUUUGUAGAUUGUAUCUUGAGAGCGGAUUAAAGUCUGUUGGAACACAGCGCCUUAGAGGGUGACAGCCCCGUAAAAUCUAUUCUCAUUGUAAGAUACUUUCGAAGAGUCGAGUUGUUUGGGAAU